rnacentral:rRNA from 1 species
UCUGGCUCAGGACGAACGCUGGCGGCGUGCCUAAUACAUGCAAGUCGAACGGUCUUUCUAUGGAAGCUUGCUUCCACUGAAAAGAUAGUGGCGAACGGGUGAGUAACACGUGGGUAACCUGCCCAUAAGAGGGGGGAUAACAUCCGGAAACGGGUGCUAAUACCGCAUAGUUUUCUUGAUCGCAUGAUCGGGAAAGGAAAGACGGCCUUUGUGCUGUCGCUUAUGGAUGGACCCGCGGCGUAUUAGUUAGUUGGUGAGGUAACGGCUCACCAAGACGAUGAUACGUAGCCGACCUGAGAGGGUGAUCGGCCACAUUGGGACUGAGACACGGCCCAAACUCCUACGGGAGGCAGCAGUAGGGAAUCUUCCGCAAUGGACGAAAGUCUGACGGAGCAACGCCGCGUGAGUGAAGAAAAGGUUUUCGGAUCGUAAAACUCUGUUGUCAGAGAAGAACAAGUUGGAGAGUAACUGCUCCAGCCUUGACGGUAUCUGACCAGAAAGCCACGGCUAACUACGUGCCAGCCGCUGC